rnacentral:rRNA from 1 species
CGUGGGUAACCUGCCCAAGAGACUGGGAUAACACCUGGAAACAGAUGCUAAUACCGGAUAACAACACUAGACGCAUGUCUAGAGUUUAAAAGAUGGUUCUGCUAUCACUCUUGGAUGGACCUGCGGUGCAUUAGCUAGUUGGUAAGGUAACGGCUUACCAAGGCAAUGAUGCAUAGCCGAGUUGAGAGACUGAUCGGCCACAUUGGGAUUGAGACACGGCCCAAACUCCUACGGAAGGCAGCAG